rnacentral:rRNA from 1 species
AUUGAACGCUGGCGGCAUGCUUUACACAUGCAAGUCGAGCGGCAGCGCGGGGGGCAACCCUGGCGGCGAGCGGCGAACGGGUGAGGAAUACAUCGGAACGUGCCCGAGAGUGGGGGAUAACGCCGCGAAAGCGGCGCUAAUACCGCAUAUUCUCCGAGGAGGAAAGUGGGGGGACCGCAAGGCCUCACGCUCACGGAGCGGCCGAUGUCGGAUUAGCUAGUUGGUGGGGUAAAGGCUUACCAAGGCGACGAUCCGUAGCUGGUCUGAGAGGAUGAUCAGCCACACUGGGACUGAGACACGGCCCAGACUCCUACGGGAGGCAGCAGUGGGGAAUUUUGGACAAUGGGGGCAACCCUGAUCCAGCCAUGCCGCGUGCGGGAAGAAGGCC